CAGCAGCCGCGGUAAAACCAGCACCUCGAGUGGUCAGGAGGUUUAUUGGGCCUAAAGCAUCCGUAGCCGGUUGCAUAAGUUUUCGGUUAAAUCUAUGCGCUUAACGUAUAGGCCGCCGAAAAUACUGUGCAGCUAGGGAGUGGGAGAGGUACACGGUACUCGAUAGGAAGGGGUAAAAUCCUUUGAUCUAUUGAUGACCACCUGUGGCGAAGGCGGUGUACCAGAACACGUUCGACGGUGAGGGAUGAAAGCUGGGGGAGCAAACCGGAUUAGAUACCCCCGUAGUCCCUGUCUCUUAUAC
rnacentral:rRNA from 1 species